rnacentral:tRNA from 1 species
UCCCUGGUGGUCAAGUGGUUAAGACUCUGAGCUUCCACUGCAGGGAGCACAGGUUCGAUUCCUGGUCUGGGAA